UACGUAGGGUCCGAGCGUUGUCCGGAGUUACUGGGCGUAAAGCGCGCGCAGGCGGCGGUGCUGGCCCGGCGUGAAAGCCCCCCGGCUCAACCGGGGGAGGGUCGUCGGGGGACCGCACCGCUUGAGGGCGGUAGGGGCUGGUGGAAUGCCUGGUGUAGUGGUGAAAUGCGUAGAGAUCAGGCGGAACACCCCGUGGCGAAGGCGGGCCAGCUGGGGCCGUCCCCUGACGCUAGGCGCGAAGGCGUGGGGGAGCGAACGGGGAUUAAGAAACCCCCAG
rnacentral:rRNA from 1 species